AGAGACUUAGGCUAACAAUUUAGACCAAGGGCCUUCAAAGCCCUCAGUAGGAGUGAAAAUCUCCUAGUCUCUG
rnacentral:tRNA from 1 species